CAGAAGGUGCUCAGGGCUGUGCUCACCCAAUGCCUUUGGAUUCUGCUGGAGAUGUCUCUGCCUUCCCCAGGGGAUUGCGGUCACUGAUAAGGAACCCUGAGCCCGUGAUGUGACAGCCCAACCAGGCUUGGAAACCACAUCUCUGGAGCUGUCACAGACAACUCUGAGCAAGGUGCCCUUAAUGAACCGACAUCAUGGAACGGGGAUUGCUGAAUUAUCCUGAAAAAAUUCAGAGUAUUGAGGUCUCCACAUAUAAUCACAGAAUGAUUUGGGAAGGAAGGGACCUUAGAGAUCACCGAGUUCCAAAUUCCUGCUGUGAACAUCUUCACAUCCAAUAAUGUCUGCAGUCUCUGAAGAUGUAAUAGGACUGGAAAACUAAUCUUGGAACAUUUUUUCAAAGCAAAACACACCUAGGAUUGACUCAGGACCUGAUCCAAACUCCCCUGAGAUGGUCAAGAGCCAGUUGGUGGCCUUAGCCUCGCUUGCCUCUCCUGUGCUGUCUGCAGUUGUUCCAAGCUCAGCCGAUCCUCUCGCGCUGGCUCAAAGAAACUGAUCAUAAUCCUCAAAGUGUUCCAGCGAGGAUAAGAGCAGGAUUUGAUGCUACAGGAAUUCCCUUCUUUACAGCAUCUUUUGGGAUUUAUCUCAAACAGGCCAGACAAGCUGGAAGUGACUUUUUGGAAGCUGCCUCAUGACUUUCUGCCUGGAUUGCGUGUGAUGGGAGUCCUGAAGGCCGCACGACAUAAUGCUGCUGCUCUGGCACCAAGACAGCUCUGCAGCCUGGGCCCCGAAGGACAUCUGGAGUUUCUGGGUCACAGUGGUUCCUUUUUGCAGAAAUUUGCUCGCAGGAAGUAAUGAAUGAGCCCAUUUUCACUUCGACUGGGGCCUGCAGUCUACGGGAGACAUUAGGAGCAAUUUGUAGUCAACGUGCAGGUCUGUUCCAUCUAAAAUAUUAUCAAUGAGCUUGUCAACCCGAGCCUUAACCUUCUUUGUUAUUUUCAUCUGCUCCUCUCUCAGAUGUCUCUCCUCGUAGCCAUAACCUCUGAAGACUGGCAACAGGAUGUCAUACACCUGUUUUGCUCAAGGCUGGGACUCGGAGCCCUGCGCGAGGUUGUGUUGGCAUUGGCUCGCUCGCUGCUUUGCUCAACGUAUAUGUCAGAAUGUCAGAUGAUCGUUGUUGUAUCUGCAGCUGUUGCAUGAGCACAGUGCCAGGGGCACAACUUUCCUGCAGUGAGCUUUAAUUUGCUCUCCCCUCCCUGAAGAGCUCUGGCGCUUCACCUUGCUGCUGCCGCUGCAGCUGGAGGAGAGCUCAGCCCGCGUGCAGCUGGGGCUGCGGCACGGGAGGGAGGCAGGGAGAGAGGCAGGGAGGCAGCAGUGAAGGAAGGCAGGCAAGGAGAUGGGCAAAGAGAC